CCUACGGGAGGCAGCAGUGGGGAAUAUUGGACAAUGGGGGCAACCCUGAUCCAGCAAUGCCGCGUGUGUGAGGAAGGCCUGAGGGUUGUAAAGCACUUUCAGUGGGGAGGAGGAUACUUAGGUUAAGAGCUAGAGUAUUGGACGUUACCCACAGAAGAAGCACCGGCUAACUCCGUGCCAGCAGCCGCGGUAAUACGGAGGGUGCGAGCGUUAAUCGGAAUUACUGGGCGUAAAGGGUGCGUAGGUGGUUGAUUAAGUUAUCUGUGAAAUCCCCGGGCUCAACCUGGGCAGGUCAGAUAAUACUGAUUGACUCGAGUAUAGGAGAGGGUAGUGGAAUUUCCGGUGUAGCGGUGAAAUGCGUAGAGAUCGGAAGGAACACCAGUGGCGAAGGCGGCUACCUGGCCUAAUACUGACACUGAGGCACGAAAGCGUGGGGAGCAAACAGGAUUAGAUACCCUGGUAGUCCACGCUGUAAACGAUGUCAACUAGCUGUUGGUUAUAUGAAUAUAAUUAGUGGCGCAGCAAACGCGAUAAGUUGACCGCCUGGGGAUACGGUCGCAAGNUUAAAACUCAAAUGAAUUGACCGG
rnacentral:rRNA from 1 species